rnacentral:lncRNA from 1 species
CCGAGCAGAAUUACAGGACAAGGGGAGAUUCAAUUAGAAUGAAAAGCAAUCAAUCCAGACCCACAAUUUCAAGAUACAGAAUAAUUACCAGCUAAGUGAAAAUUUUUGACUGCAAGACCUUCACAUUGAGAUUGUUUCUAAGAAAACAGUAUAUUUUGCUUCCCAGAGCCGGAAAUAUGGGCACAACUCAACUGUAAUUUCCAAGCCAUCUUACUUCAUAGUUCUACCCGAAACUAAGUUGAAGUAGUGAGCAGAUUCCUCUUACCUGUUUGUGAGCAUGAUCAUAAGAGUUAAUGUGAUUGUCAAACUCCUGGUGUUUAUAGUACUGCUUGUCACAGAGUUCACAGUAGAAGUUCGCUUUAAGAUCUUCCAGAGCUUUUGCUAUCGUGUUUUUCUUUUCAGCAUAAUCCUGGAGGGGGGUGGGGAAAAAGGAAUUUUAGUUUUGCCUUUGAUGCUGCGAAUGGAUUUUGUGCUCUGCAGUUAAUCAUAUUUGUCAACAUUUACAAACCUCCAUAACUAAAAGCCUUCACAUAUUUGCUGUGUUACACCGCACAUAUUUACUGUAUCUGCUGUGAGGUUGAAGAUUUGCACACUCCAAUUUGCUAUACAGUUGCCAGCUCCCCAUAGGGGCUCUGUCAGAGGCUAGAAGCAUUUUCCCGUGUUCUGUCUACAUAAAAAUAUUUAUCAUGCUGAGGCUAUUUUUGAGGCAAUUUCAAUCCAAGACCUGCUAGGUAAUACAUCCAAGCAGAAUAAGCAUGAAGACACAAACUGCAAUAAAUUAGUUAUUAAGCUUUUACAAGAAAGUGUGUUUACUAGAAAGAAAACAGAAUUCAAGGAACCCUCCUGGGACCUUAUUGAACCCCUCUACACAUGAAAACCUGAGGAACACUUUCAAAGCUGAGAUAGAACUUGCAGCCCUAGAGAUGAAAAUCCCUCUUGAGCAUGAAAACUGAAGGCUGGAACAGAUGUCAGUGUUCAUCCCUGGCAGCCCUCCACCCAAGGGGGUGGAAAGGUACUCAGCAGAGGAUGAUCAUGUUGAAGUUUUGUGUAGACAUGCUGCCAGGAGGUGUUAAAUGAAGACAAAUUACUUUGGUUUCUUCUUCCAAUUUCAUCCACAACAAUGCAGAUGUAGCCUUUAUAUACGCAUAUUUUAAUAGCUUCAUUUUAAGCAUUGUUUUAUCAAAGUUUUUUAUGUAUAUUUUGAUCCUUUUGCAUGUCAUAAAAUUCACAGACCAAAGUUUAAAACUGCAUGUUUAAGUAUACACAUAUGCAUACACAUUACGUGUAUAACAAUAAAGGAGGUGGUAACACA